GGAGAGUUGGCAGAGUGGUCUAAUGCGGCGGUCUUGAAAACCGUUGAGCUUUGCGGCUCCGGGGGUUCGAAUCCCUCACUCUCCG
rnacentral:tRNA from 1 species